GAUGAACGCUGGCGGCGUGCUUAACACAUGCAAGUCGAACGGAAAGGCCCUGCUUUUGUGGGGUGCUCGAGUGGCGAACGGGUGAGUAACACGUGAGUAACCUGCCCUUGUCUUUGGGAUAACUUCAGGAAACUGGGGCUAAUACCGGAUAUGAGCUCCCGCUGCAUGGUGGGGGUUGGAAAGUUUCGGCGGUUGGGGAUGGACUCGCGGCUUAUGAGCUUUUUGGUGGGGUAGUGGCUUACCAAGGCUUUGACGGGUAGCCGGCCUGAGAGGGUGAACGGCCACAUUGGGACUGAGAUACGGACCAGACGCCUACGGGAGGCAGCAGUGGGGAAUAUUGCACAGUGGGCGGAAGCCUGAUGCAGCAACGCCGCGUGCGGGAUGACGGCCUUCGGGUUGUAAACCGCUUUCGCCUGUGACGAAGCGUGAGUGACGGUAAUGGGUAAAGAAGCACCGGCUAACUACGUG
rnacentral:rRNA from 1 species